UGAGGAAUUUUGCGCAAUGGGAGCAAUCCUGACGCAGCAACGCCGCGUGGGUGAUGAAGGCCUUCGGGUCGUAAAGCCCUGUCAGGUGGGAAGAAUGUCCAGGGACUGAACAGGUUCCGGGAGUGACGGUACCACCAGAGGAAGCACCGGCUAACUCCGUGCCAGCAGCCGCGGUAAUACGGAGGGUGCGAGCGUUAUUCGGAAUUACUGGGCGUAAAGCGUGUGUAGGCGGUCCCGCAAGUCUGAUGGGAAAGCCCCGGGCUUAACCCGGGAAGUGCAUUGGAAACUGUGGGACUUGAGUACUGGAGAGGAUGGGGGAAUUCCCGGUGUAGAGGUGAAAUUCGUAGAGAUCGGGAGGAAUAUCAGUGGCGAAGGCGCCCAUCUGGACGGUAACUGACGCUGAGACGCGAAAGCGUGGGGAGCAAACA
rnacentral:rRNA from 1 species